rnacentral:rRNA from 1 species
GACGAACGCUGGCGGCGUGCUUUAUACAUGCAAGUCGAACGAUGAAGUUCCUUCGGGAAUGGAUUAGUGGCGAACGGGUGAGGAACACGUGAGAAACCUGCCUUUCAUUCUGGGAUAACACCGGGAAACCGGUGCUAAUACCGGAUACUCCGUCUUGGCGGCAUCGCCGAGCCGGGAAAAAAUUUUGAUGAAAGAUGGUCUCGCGGCCUAUCAGCUAGUUGGUGAGGUAAAGGCUCACCAAGGCGACGACGGGUAGCCGGCCUGAGAGGGCGACCGGCCACACUGGGACUGCGACACGGCCCAGACUCCUACGGGAGGCAGCAGUAGGGAAUAUUGGGCAAUGGGCGCAAGCCUGACCCAGCGACGCCGCGUGAGGGAUGAAGGUCUUCGGAUUGUAAACCUCUUUCAGUAGGGAGGAAGCGAAAGUGACGGUACCUAAAGAAGAAGCACCGGCUAACUAUGUGCCAGCAGCCGCCGUAAAAC